rnacentral:rRNA from 1 species
UGAGGAAUAUUGGGUCAAUGGGCGAGAGCCUGAACCAGCCAAGUAGCGUGCAGGAUGGCGGCCCUAUGGGUUGUAAACUGCCUUUAUAAGGGAAUAAAGUGGGGCUCGUGAGCUCUUUUGCAUGUACCUUAUGAAUAAGGACCGGCUAAUUCCGUGCCAGCGGCCGCGGUAAUACGGAAGGUCCGGGCGUUAUCCGGAUUUAUUGGGUUUAAAGGGAGCGUAGGCCGGAGAUUAAGCGUGUUGUGAAAUGUAGGUGCUCAACAUCUGCACUGCAGCGCGAACUGGUUUCCUUGAGUACGCACAAAGUGGGCGGAAUUCGUGGUGUAGCGGUGAAAUGCUUAGAUAUCACGAAGAACUCCGAUUGCGAAGGCAGCUCGCUGUAGCAUUACUGACGCUGAAGCUCGAAGGUGCGGGUAUCGAACAGGAUUAGAUACCCUGGUAGU